CGGAAAUAUGCUGACUUCGAUUGGCAAGAUGAUAGAACCCAACAAUGUCGUUUACAGGUUCCGAUUAAAUUUCACAUAACAGCCGGCCGCGGCGCGGAUUUUCAAUGCUUUUUCUUGGCCGCGAGAGGUCAAUGACGGGAUGAUGAGCCCUGCGAUGAAACGCAGUUGAUCACACAUACGCAGACACUGUGCAUAAACCUGUAGAUGUGCGCGCCUCUACUCUGGUUAAUUUCAAGAACUCUCUCGUUUGCGUUCGUCGUAUGCGCGUGCAACCGUGGGUGUCGUUGCUGCUGAUGGACGCUGCCUGCCAGACGCGUUGUCGCCAAUACACCAGUGAUAGGUCGCCGGAGAGAUGAUAACCUAGAGAGAACCUGAGCUCGUGGACCGACCUGAACUGCUUCGAGGACGUCGAGAAUGUGUCAGCUGCCUCUUCUUUGGCUUUGAGCAUUUUCCUCGACGAUUGGAUCACUUUGUAUUUGUCAUAUGUAGAUCUGCGCAGAUGUACCGAGUGGCAGCGCCCUCGUGCGAUCGUCCUAUUACUUGCAGUGGCCUGUCUAAUCGAACGAUUAGCAGCUUGUUGGUGGCCAUACCGUUAUCAAUGUUGUUCGUAAGAAGGCUGCGUAUUUGAAACCGAAAUCGAUAUACUGCCGCUGCCAGUGAAAGCUACGUCGUGGAGAGGCGGUCUUCAAAGAAGGACGAACGCAGCGAGGCAGAGUACUCGUACCGGUGUGACGUUACAUUGCAAAGCUAUGCUAACAAAAUGCAGGCUAAGAGUGCACAGUUGAUUCAGAGGGCGGGUAGGCAUUCGUAAGGACGGCCGACUGCUCUUUCUACGCGGAGAAACGGAUAUAUAUAUGUAAACAUAUAGACAUAUAUGACGGAAGCUAGAUGCGAAAGAUCAUGUGCACUAUUGCGAAACGUUGUCCGUGCCCACGGUGAGAUAAUGAAUAAACGAAAAUGUGAAAGUAGAAGAAAGAAGAAGAGCAAAAGGAGUUUUCCGGGAAUGAAAGGACACGCAACCGGCGCUGCUACUGCUGCUUUCGAGGAAAACCAGCCAAAUUUGGACAGGGGCUGUUUCAGAAUAACCGAUUCUCUUAUAUGCCGGGCCUUUUUUCUGCUCUGCGGCAAAGAAAACCGCAUUUAUAUAACUCUUGGCGCGCUACUAUAGGAGCUCAUCUCACACUGCCAACGCUUCGUUAUUGAAUAUCGACUUUGACAAACGUACUAAAAGGCACCAUUUGUAAGGCAGCGCUUUAUUUAUUACAUAUUGGCUUUAUAUACGCGCUAUAUACUGUUUGAAGUGCGCAGAGACAGUUAUGUUUUUAGUGCUGUACCGUUUCGUUCAAAUACAGAAUAUCCCAAGAUGUAAACACUGUUUAGCGGCCUGUAGGUUUCUGAUUGUUCUAUUUUUUGUGGGAAGAAAAGUAAACCAAUAUUGUCUUACAAAGAACAGCUGUUAUUUCAAGAUGUAUUUCGAAGUGUAUUGCAACAAGUCGACUUACAAAAGAAGUAUCUUUUGAACGAAUGGAAUUAUUUGGGAAGGUCAACGGUUUCAGAAGCUAAGAAACAGUGCCGCAAAAUUACCCGGAAAUCGAUCAAGUUUUAAGCUUGACAUCAGUAAAUCAAGUGUCAGAAAGUGGAAGAACCAUAGUCAUGCGGCUCUAUCAGCGAAGAUGAUUUCGAAUAAAAAAAAAAGAAACAAUUUUCCAAAUGGGCAAUGGAAAGGGAUGCGCCGUUGUCGAGGAAGACUCUUCGGAGUGAUGAUGCUACAUCGGAACUAAACGGUAUAAUUAAUUGGGCCUUCUGAGCAAUCGAAUAAGAUGAUCCGGACUGAAAAGAGAUACUCUGCGUACGGAACUUAAACGCAUUUGAAUAACGCAUUUGAACUUAAACGCAAUUUUUGAAGCUAUGAAAUUGAAUUGCGCUACAAUCGGAUGUGGUUGCACGUCCAAGAAAUUAUUACAUGUAGACAUUAGAAAAACACCGUGUGGACUUGCCAUGAGCCAUACCGUAGCACGGCAUCUCAUGCAAAAGAUUAAUUUGCCCCUUUUUUUUGUCGAUUGUUUGUCAUUAUUGCGAACAUAUAUUUCAUUACGCAUUCGGUAAGGUCUUGACGAAAAUAGCAGAUUCUAUUGCCCAUAGCACAGAACACCUGCACCUUAUCAUCGUGACAUGAUCAAAGUGUU